CCGGCACUGUCUCAUGCUGGUCAGAAUGUGAGAACAUGUAUUGCGCAAGUGAGCUCCCAGUUUUGUUCAUCGUUUGAGUAUUCUUUGGGAUGCAUAUGGAUUGCAUGUGUGAAGUUUGACCACGUUCUGUGCACACAUGUGAGAACUGGGUGGUGACAAUUAUUGGAAGCCUCUCCCAUUCCAGCUCUAGACGGACAGCAGGGAAUUCUCCAAGAACACCGGCCUCAGCUUUAGCAGUAACAGCAUAUUGUUGACACUCUGGACCCCAAGCCAACUUGGCCUAAAAAACAGGACACCAUCAGCACAAAUCUUCAAGUUGUCAUUUUCAGCAAUUGAGGAAAUGAUGAGCUGCACUCUUGCAGUUGGCUUGUCAAAGUAUACAGCAAGUUGGUAGCCCAGCAGCUUUUGAUCAACUCUUACGGCACGGACAAUGAUAGCAAAAACAGCCUCAAAGCUUGAUCCAGUGCUUCCACUGCUAACUGCCUUUGAGGCUCCAUGGGGUGCCAUGUACUGCAGGCAAAUUAUGCGAGAGCUGGACAUCGAGGAGCUUGAACUGCUGGAACUGAUGAUGCGGCUUCUGCGGCUGCUGCGGCUACUGCUGCUUUCAGAAGAGACAGGAACUUCUUUUGCUUCAGUCUCCAGGAUUUCCCUCAGUUUCAUCAGGAU